AAAAAAAAAAAAAAACUGCAACCUCCUCUUCUUCUCCUACAUAAUGCCUUCUACUUCUUUCCUCAACCACCAUCUCUAUCUCCUUCUAUUUCAAUCCAUUUCUUCUUGUUUUAGCCUUCUACACAACUUACAUCCAUCAUCAUGUCAUCACUUUAUUCUGUUCGCCUUCUUUCACCGCCAUUAUCUCACUCUCUUAGCUCCUCCACAAGACCCAGAACAAAGCUCUUUGCUGGUCCCACGGUGGUGCAGCCGGUGGAGGUGGAGGUUGAUGUAGAGAGGCUGGAGCCAAGAGUUUAUGAGAAAGAUGGCUACUGGGUAUUGAAGGAAAAGUUUAGACAGGGUAUUAAUCCUCAGGAAAAGGUGAAGAUACAGAAAGAGCCUAUGAAACUUUUCAUGGAAAAUGGGAUUGAGGAGCUUUCUAAACUUUCAAUGGAAGAGAUUGAUAAAAGUAAGGACACUAAGGAUGAUAUUGAUGUUAGGCUCAAGUGGCUUGGUCUCUUCCACAGAAGGAAGCAUCAUUAUGGUCGGUUUAUGAUGAGACUGAAGCUGCCAAAUGGAGUAACAACAAGUGAACAAACACGAUAUUUGGCUAGUGCGAUAAGGAAAUAUGGUAAGGAUGGAUGUGCAGAUGUUACAACCAGGCAAAACUGGCAAAUACGUGGAGUGGAGCUGCCUGAUGUGCCUGAAAUACUCCAGGGUCUUGCUGAAGUUGGCUUGACAAGCCUGCAGAGUGGCAUGGACAAUGUGAGAAACCCAGUUGGAAAUCCUCUUGCAGGAAUUGACCCGGAUGAGAUUGUUGACACACGACCUUACACAAAUUUGUUAUCCCAAUUUAUCACUGGCAAUUCAAAUGGAAAUCCUGCUGUUUCUAACUUGCCAAGGAAAUGGAAUGUAUGUGUCGUAGGUUCUCAUGAUCUAUACGAACAUCCUCACAUAAAUGAUCUUGCUUACAUGCCUGCAACUAAGGAUGGACGUUUUGGAUUCAAUUUGCUGGUGGGUGGGUUCUUUAGUGCCAAGAGAUGUGCUGAGGCAGUUCCUCUUGAUGCCUGGGUUUCAGCAGAAGAUGUGGUGCCAUUGUGCAAAGCAGUACUUGAGGCCUACAGAGAUCUUAGCACCAGAGGAAACAGGCAGAAGACUAGAAUGAUGUGGUUGAUUGAUGAACUUGUGAGUAAAUCAUUCAUCUUAACAAAUCAUCCAUUCCGGUUCUUGUUUCUGUUAUAGUUUUUGAUCUCGUUCUUUAAUCUUUUGUUAGAGUUCAUAAUUGUAACUUCUGUAUGAAAGCAGGGCUUUGAAGGAUUCAGGUCAGAGGUAGCAAAAAGAAUGCCAAAUCAAGAACUAGAAACAGCAUCUUCUGAAGAUCUGGUUCAAAAGCAAUGGGAAAGGAGGGACUAUUUCGGUGUGCAUCCACAAAGCCAAGAAGGUUUUAGUUAUGUAGGUCUGCACAUUCCUGUAGGGCGUCUCCAAGCAGACGACAUGGAUGAACUAGCUCGUUUAGCCGAUACGUAUGGCUCUGGUGAACUCAGGCUCACUGUGGAGCAAAACAUCAUAAUCCCCAACAUUGAGAACUCAAAGAUCGAGUCCUUACUUGAAGAGCCUCGAUUGAAAGACAAGUUCUCACCAGAACCACCUCUUCUCAUGAAAGGUUUAGUGGCAUGUACUGGCAACCAGUUUUGUGGGCAAGCCAUAAUUGAGACAAAAGCUAGGGCCAUGAAGGUGACUGAGGAUGUGCAAAGGUUAGUGUCAGUGACUCGGCCAGUGAGAAUGCACUGGACAGGUUGUCCUAACACCUGUGGGCAGGUGCAGGUAGCUGAUAUUGGGUUCAUGGGGUGCAUGACAAGAGAUGAAAAUGGAAAGACUUGUGAAGGGGUGGAUGUGUACUUGGGAGGAAGAAUAGGGAGUGACUCACAUUUGGGGAAAGUUUAUAAGAAGAGUGUUCCUUGCAAGGACUUGGUGCCUUUAGUUGUGGACAUUUUGGUUAAGCACUUUGGAGCUGUCCCUAGAGAGAGGGAAGAGGUGGAAGAUUAGGUUGAAGAAUCAUUGGUUCAUUUUUAUUUCUUAUUUUUUAACCCUUUCUUUUCUUGCUUUCGUUUUGUGUAAUUGUGGGAUGUAGGAUACCAGAAGUUACUGUUUAUCAUGUAAAAUUAGUUUGCUCAAAGUCAUAAAUUCUUUCUAUUUGAAAAAAAAAAAUCUAGAAAAAAUGAGGAAAAUAUCAUAAUAUCAUAAUGUAAUGCAUAAAUUUUUUUUCUGUAUAUGGAGUAAGGGUUAAAU
rnacentral:misc_RNA from 1 species